UUCCACGUUACCAUGGGAGCUGUGUUCCUAUGACUGCUUCCCUUCCUAGGCGUGGAACAGUGUCCUCCCAGUUUACCUGCACCGGCUUCAUGAGUAUCAGUCAUGUGAUGCAGAGGCAGGAACUGUUG
rnacentral:snoRNA from 1 species